rnacentral:pre_miRNA from 1 species
UUUUAUGAAUGAGCAAAGAAAGUGGUUUCUUGAGACACAGUCUACUUCUGGUGAAGAUGCUGUGAA